UAACAAACUACAGUUCCCAAGAUUCUUUCGGGGGGUGGAAGCCAUGGCUAUUUAAAGUAGUAUGAUACUGCUUUAAAAGUAUAGUGUGGAUGGGGCCUUAGCUGGAUAUAAUCAUGAGAAAGCUUUCUGCAUUUGUCUUUAUUUGGCCAAUAUACUCCACCUUAAAUGAUGUAUGCCAGCCUCAUGCUCAGGGUAUUGCCAACCUUCCUUACUAAAUUAGUCUGCCAGGUGUGGCUUCAAAGAAAUGAAUGGAACACCACUGACUUUCUCAAUACCAACAGAUACUUCUAUAACUCUCUUGCCAGAUCCGUCUCUGUUCCUAGGAUUCCCUAGUCUUCAGGCACUCAAGGUUAUGCUGCUGCCGCAACUUUUUUCUUCUUCUCUCAGGCACCUCAUAUCAACAGAGGAGGCUCUUUGCAUGGUCCCUUCACCAGAGGAAGUAUGUGGCAUGGUGGCAUGGGAUAGCACCUUCUCAGUUGUGGCACUCAAUGUCUCUAGAAUGGCCUGCCUUUGAGGAACAUCUGGUGCCAAUAUUGAUGACACACCUCUUUGCCCAGGCCUUUGGUAAGGGGUUGAGUGACUAUGCCAAUAUGCCAGUUGCUAUUGACUUUAUCACCUGUUGCUUGUUUAUCAGUGCUCUGUUGAUAUUUAGUUGUUUUAUAUUUUUGUAUUUGAUUUAUUGUAUAGAAUUUUUAUUGCUGUUUUUAUGUAACCUGCCUUUGGAUCACUUGAUGAAUGACAGGAUAGAAAUGGAAUAAAUAAAUAAAUAAAUAAUAUCACCCAACUACAACAAAAAAUAAGUGAGUACCGGCCCGGGGUCCCCUCUGAAUUCAGCCAGUGGUACUUCCAGCUACUGAGAGCAGGGCAUCACAUUUAUCCUGUACCUUGUGCCAUUCAUUAUAUUUUGUAUAACUGUAUCUGUUGGUAGAAUUCCUUUCAUUGUCAAGCUGCUUUUCAAUGUCUUCUUGCAGGUUUUGAAAUAAAAUUCUGCAUGAUACAAAACAUUAA